rnacentral:lncRNA from 1 species
UGGCCCAGCCGGAGCAGCUCCAUCCUGGAGGAGGCCUGCCGGCAGUUCCAGGACACACUGCAGGAGUGCUGGGACCUGGACCGCCAGGCCAGCGACAGCCUGGCCCAGGCGGAGCAGGGAGGACUCUGGCGCCUGCAACCUUGAUCGACAGCAAAGAUGUCCAGUGUGUAUCCUGCAUCUGCCUUUCCUGACCAUUCCUCGUGCCCCAUUCUCCGUGGGAUAGAUUCUCAUGGGGAGUGGGGGAGCCUUCGGGUGUGGCAGAACGGCAUGAUGGAAUUCAUAAGGUGAGCAGAAACUCAAGGAAAACUGUCCAAAUACCGGCUCGACUCCUGGGUACGCUGGAGCAAGGAUGAAGAAGCUCUGAGACUUUGCACGUCAGUAACCACCAACACCAUGCCUCUGGUUCCCACACCGCAGGGAUCACCUGAAGUAGAGGAUCUCAUGUAACUUCAUGGCUCUCUCUGAACUUCUGUUUCUUUAUCUGUAAGAUGGGGAUCAGAAACUCUGUCUUAAGGAGUUGUUUUGAGGAUUAAAUGAAGAAACAUGAAAAGCAACUGAUGUCCAGUGCCGAGCACAAGGCUUUUGUCCCCUACUUACGCACCCCUAACCAGGAUUCUCCACUUAGAGCUGAGAAUUUCCUUUACAGUGUGCUCUGGGGGCACCAGAAAGAAACUCGGCUUCCAUUAACCACUUCCAGGUGUCUGAAAUCCCACCACUACUUAGGGUACUUCACUCCCCAGCUGUGAGCUACUCAGCCGCCCUUAAGCAGAAAGAGAUGGGAUCCGUGUUCCCUGAAAGCUUUAGAUGGGGUUAGAGAGAAAAGAUGCACCCAAAGAUGUUUCCCAGCCCAAGAACUUGAAGGAAACCAAAAUAUUUCACCCCAAAAAAUACUUCUUUGACACAUUUCAAGGUGGCUGUUCAGAAUGGUUGGAAAUAGAAUAACCAAAAAGCUGUCUUUUUGUGGAGAGAUUUGCAUCUGUAGAGGAAAUCUGCAUUGAUGUAGCCAGGCUUUCUCCGAGGCUCUCCCUUGUCUAACUCUAGGAAAGAUUAACUGAGAGGCUGACACCUUUACAGAUCUGAAAGAAACAUUUACCCUCAGUUCUUUCUGAGGGCUGCUACCUGUGAGGUGUCAUCUACCUAACAAGACUCCCUUUGCCAACCAGGCCUCCUCUUCCCUCCCUUCCAUAACCUGUCUUGCCACUAUCUGAGCCCCCAUAUUUGUAUAAACUCAAGAUGGUGGAUAAGCUUCUGUAUCCCACUGAGGGGUUGGGGUAAUCACUUUGUGGUUCUCUC